GAAAUGCCAAAUCGAUGCGAAACACUCAAAGGAGAAAAGGAAAUAAACUCUCAAAUUAUAUUAAUUAUCAAUUGUUCAUAAUAAGCAUUCUAGAAAAAAUCUAAAUUAUAUUGAUAUUUGUAGACUAAUGACUGAAUCAAUUUAAUCAUAAAAAACCAACAAUUCUAAAUAAUAAAAUUUUUAAAUAAUUAAAAUAUUACUUCUUAAUUAAUUUUUCUAAAUAAUAAGAAUUUAAAACUUCGUAAUUUACCUUCUUUGAUUGUAUCAUUCUGACACGACCUUGAGUUUUUUAGUGCAAUAUGCUGGUGAAGUGGAGAUUGAGCUUAUAUCAUGUACAGUUGUUGCAGUUUCUGGCAACCCCACCUGAAGGAUUAUACUAAAUUAUGCGCAAAAAUUCUCAGAGCAAAGCCUUGCUGAUGGCUCAAUUAGCUGAGAGUAAAUUUUAUGGUUUUUCUAUGAAAGUUUUGCUGGCAAAUGCAGAGGAUAUUCCUGCAGCCGCAAGGAAUUAGUUCCAUCGGCAGGUCUAUGCAAUCGGUUAUGGUAUAAGACCCUUGGAACUUCCUGUUUCCUGAUGAGUGGAAAUAUAAUUCACAAUCCUCCACCAUUCCUCUAGCAUCGGUACUCGCUAGUGCAUCAACAAGGGUGAAUUAACACAACUGUAAAGCAGUAUAAAUUAUUGAUUUUCUUACGGUCAUUUCUUUGACCAGCACAACAGUACUAGAAAAUUGAAUAUGAAAAUCUUGUUGCCCUUCCUUCCUGUAUUUGAUUCUUUCUUUGCCUUGUUAUUCACGAUCACUUGUGCAAGGCAAUAUCGCAAUAUG
rnacentral:misc_RNA from 1 species